UACGGAGGGUGCGAACGUUAAUCGGAAUUACUGGGCGUAAAGCGCACGUAGGCGGUUCGCUAAGUGGGAUGUGAAAGCCCUGGGCUCAACCCGGGAACUGCAUUUCAGACUGGCGGACUAGAGUACGGUAGAGGGCGGUGGAAUUCCCUGUGUAGCGGUGAAAUGCGUAGAUAUAGGGAGGAACAUCAGUGGCGAAGGCGGCCGCCUGGAUCGAUACUGACGCUGAGGUGCGAAAGCGUGGGGAGCAAACAGG
rnacentral:rRNA from 1 species